rnacentral:rRNA from 1 species
UACGAAGGGUGCAAGCGUUAAUCAGAAUUACUGGGCGUAAAGGGUGCGUAGGCGGUUGUUUAAGUCUGUCGUGAAAUCCCCGGGCUCAACCUGGGAAUGGCGAUGGAAACUGGGCAGCUAGAGUGUGUCAGAGGAUGGUGGAAUUCCGGGUGUAGCGGUGGAAUGCGUAGAGAUCCGGAAGAACACCCGUGGCGAAAGCGGCUCUCUGGAACGGUACUGACGCUGAGACGCGAAAGCGUGGGGAGCGAACAGG